rnacentral:rRNA from 1 species
UGAGGCCUACGGGGGGCAGCAGUGAGGAAUAUUGGUCAAUGGGCUAAGGCCUGAACCAGCCACGUCGCGUGAGGGAAGACGGUCCUAUGGAUUGUAAACCUCUUUAGGCGGGGAGCAAUGCCGGGCACGCGUGCCCGGAGGGAGAGUACCCGCAGAAUAAGCAUCGGCUAACUCCGUGCCAGCAGCCGCGGUAAUACGGAGGAUGCGAGCGUUAUCCGGAUUUAUUGGGUUUAAAGGGUGCGUAGGCGGAUUUUUAAGUCAGCGGUAAAAUGUCCGGGCUCAACCCGGGCCGGCCGUUGAAACUG